rnacentral:tRNA from 1 species
GGGAAUGUGGCUUAAUGGUAGAGUGCUUGCUUAGCAUGCAUGAGGCCUUGGGUUCGAUUCCUCAGUACCA